GACGAGGUGGCCGAGGGGUUUAAGGCGUUGGACUUCUAAUCCAAUGUGCACUGCACGCGUGGGUUCGAAUCCCAUCCUCGUCG